rnacentral:misc_RNA from 1 species
AACGCACGAGACCUGCGGACCUGCGGAAGGAUCAUUACUGAAGUGAUUUGGGGAUGUUGCUGGCCCUCUCUCUCAAGGAGGGCAUGGUGCACUCCUCGAAACAAUUCACAAUUUCCAUCACACCCCUUGUGCACACCUUGUAGGCACCCAAACCCACCUCCGGGUGGUGGGGUCCUAUGUAUUCCUUCAUCUCACACUCUGUUGAAUGGUGCCAUGGGACGCAUCUAAAGGAUUAUUUGU